GGUUGUAUGGCGCAAUGGCAGCGCGCUCGUUUUUGUAACGGGAAAACCUGGGUUUAAUUCCCGGUGCGACUU
rnacentral:tRNA from 2 species